GGGGUGAUGGUCUAACCUGGUAUGACGCCUGCUUCGGGAGCAGGAGGUUGGGAGUUCGAAUCUCCCUCACCCCA
rnacentral:tRNA from 1 species